rnacentral:sRNA from 1 species
ACAAAAGAGGCAGGGAGUUUAAAUUUCUGCCGUCUUCGCGGUCAGUCUUGGGAGGAUGAGAUCUUAGGCGCGCUUGUUCGCAGCCCCGGAAACGGAAACAGAUCACGCGAAACUGAAAAACAAGGCUUAAUCGCCUUGUUUUUUUUU